rnacentral:lncRNA from 1 species
UAAAACAUAGGGCGUUAUGAACCUGUGGAGUAAUUCAACAUAAUACAGGGAGGGCUAGUGCUGAUGGUGCCACUCCUAAACAAUGCACUGUGCGGAGCCAACCCAGGCCAACUAGAGUGAUUUCUAUCAGGCCUCCAUAGGCGUAGCUUACCUAUCGUGUCCUAAGAACGGGAUACGUGGAUCCUAUCAGGAUCAUCGAUACGCUACUCGGCCUUGCUGUAUUUGUU